UACGUAGGGCGCAAGCGUUAUCCGGAAUUAUUGGGCGUAAAGAGCUCGUAGGCGGUCUGUUGCGUCCGCUGUGAAAACUCGGGGCUUAACCCCGAGCCUGCAGUGGAUACGGGCAGACUAGAGGUAGGUAGGGGAGAAUGGAAUUCCCGGUGUAGCGGUGAAAUGCGCAGAUAUCGGGAGGAACACCGGUGGCGAAGGCGGUUCUCUGGGCCUUACCUGACGCUGAGGAGCGAAAGCGUGGGGAGCGAACAGGAU
rnacentral:rRNA from 1 species